rnacentral:rRNA from 1 species
AACGAACGCUGGCGGCAUGCCUAACACAUGCAAGUCGAACGAGACCUUCGGGUCUAGUGGCGCACGGGUGCGUAACGCGUGGGAACCUGCCCUUAGGUUCGGAAUAACUCCCCGAAAGGGGUUCUAAUACCGGAUAAUGUCUUCGGACCAAAGAUUUAUCGCCUUUGGAUGGGCCCGCGUUGGAUUAGCUAGUUGGUAGGGUAAAAGCCUACCAAGGCGACGAUCCAUAGCUGGUCUGAGAGGAUGAUCAGCCACACUGGGACUGAGACACGGCCCAGACUCCUACGGGAGGCAGCAGUGGGGAAUAUUGGACAAUGGGCGAAAGCCUGAUCCAGCAAUGCCGCGUGAGUGAUGAAGGCCUUAGGGUUAUAAAGCUCUUUUACCCGGGAUGAUAAUGACAGUACCGGGAGAAUAAGCUCCGGCUAACUCCGUG